rnacentral:lncRNA from 1 species
UUUGGCAUGAGCCAAGUUUUGAGAAAUUCACGAGCCAUAUUGAUUAUUUAGUUGAAAUGAAUAUUCGUGUUGUGAAAAAUUUGCUGAAAUGAAUUAUUUUUAAUUGUCUCUCUUUACUCGCCUUUAGAUAGUUUAGAUGGUGUCUGUUUACUCACUGGGAUUAUGUAAUCAUAAUCUCACCCCUCUUCCUAUCCAUUUUUCAAGCUCAGGACAAUUUGUUGAUAGUUGAGUAAGACGAGAAUUAACCUCGGAGUUGCAUCCUAGAAAGUAAGAGUUCGCGCCCUACACCUUCUUGGUCAGUUGGGG